rnacentral:rRNA from 1 species
AGUGAACGCUGGCGGUAGGCCUAACACAUGCAAGUCGAACGGCAGCACAGUAAGAGCUUGCUCUUACGGGUGGCGAGUGGCGACGGGUGAGGAAUACAUCGGAAUCUACUUUUUCGUGGGGGAUUACGUAGGGAAACUUACGCUAAUACCGCAUACGACCUACGGGUGAAAGCAGGGGAUCUUCGGACCUUGCGCGAUUGAAUGAGCCGAUGUCGGAUUAGCUAGUUGGCGGGGUAAAGGCCCACCAAGGCGACGAUCCGUAGCUGGUCUGAGAGGAUGAUCAGCCACACUGGAACUGAGACACGGUCCAGACUCCUACGGGAGGCAGCAGUGGGGAAUAUUGGACAAUGGGCGCAAGCCUGAUCCAGCCAUACCGCGUGGGUGAAGAAGGCCUUCGGGUUGUAAAGCCCUUUUGUUGGGAAAGAAAAGCAGCAGGUUAAUACCCCGCUGUUCUGACGGUACCCAAAGAAUAAGCACCGGCUAACUUCGUG